rnacentral:misc_RNA from 1 species
CAGAGCCUGAAAACUCUCAAACCCACUGUUAAUUAUACCUUUUUUUGUUGCUUUGGGCGGGCAGUCCCAGGGCGGGGCCUUGCCUGUAUUUUUGCAGGUGUCCGUCAAAAGCACCCCUAAAAUUCUUUUUUUUAUGGCUGUCUGAGUUUUUAAAAAAAAUAAGUCA